rnacentral:rRNA from 1 species
CAGUAGCCACGGUAAUACGUAGGGUGCAAGCGUUAAUCGGAAUUACUGGGCGUAAAGCGUGCGCAGGCGGUUUGUUAAGACAGAUGUGAAAUCCCCGGGCUCAACCUGGGAACUGCAUUUGUGACUGGCAUGCUAGAGUCUGGCAGAGGGGGGUGGAAUUCCGCGUGUAGCAGUGAAAUGCGUAGAUAUGCGGAGGAACACCGAUGGCGAAGGCAGCCCCCUGGGCCAACACUGACGCUCAUGCACGAAAGCGUGGGGAGCAAACAGGAUUAGAUACCCCGGUAGUCCCUGUCUCUUAUAC